CAGUUUCUUCAAAAUGUAUUCAGUAUUGAGACGCUUGUUAAACCUCUUCCUCCUCCAAUGGCAGAAAAUGUUGCUCGCAACUUGAGUUUCUUUAGGCGUAUCUUCACACAAUUUUCUGAACCAGAAGGAAUUUCAAAGGCUCAAAAAUCACUUGGACUCGGGAGAGAAGAGAAAUAUCGUCAAGUUCGUUAAAUUAUUUUGCACAACAGUUGAUAAUAUAUAGAACAUGUCAAGCUGUGGUAUUGUUGCAACUUUUGGAUUCACAUUCUGCAUGGCUAUAGCCUAUAUUAACAGGAAAAUAAUACACUUUGUUGAUAAUUUAUUUAUUCAGAUAAAAUUUUAUAUUCAUUGAUUAAUUCUAAUCAACUUUUUAACUUGCAAGUCACAGAUUAA